rnacentral:rRNA from 1 species
CCUACGGGUGGCAGCAGUGGGGAAUAUUGGACAAUGGGCGAAAGCCUGAUCCAGCCAUGCCGCGUGUGUGAAGAAGGCCUUCGGGUUGUAAAGCACUUUCAGUGGGGAAGAAAGCCUUGGGGCUAAUACCCUCGAGGAAGGACAUCACCCACAGAAGAAGCACCGGCUAACUCCGUGCCAGUAGCCGCGGUAAUACGGAGGGUGCGAGCGUUAAUCGGAAUUACUGGGCGUAAAGCGCGCGUAGGCGGUCUGAUAAGCCGGUUGUGAAAGCCCCGGGCUCAACCUGGGAACGGCAUCCGGAACUGUCAGGCUAGAGUGCAGGAGAGGAAGGUAGAAUUCCCGGUGUAGCGGUGAAAUGCGUAGAGAUCGGGAGGAAUACCAGUGGCGAAGGCGGCCUUCUGGACUGACACUGACGCUGAGGUGCGAAAGCGUGGGUAGCAAACAGGGUUAGAUACCCGAGUAGUC